CAUUUCUAUUCACAGCCAAAAAAGCUUCUCUGAUGAGUAGAACUUUUUUUUUUUUUUAAAGAAAACAUCAACCUGGUAGGCAGAUGUUUCGUGUUAGAGAUACAGCUGUUUGCUUUGAUUCAGGCUUCUACCAAAACUGCUGCUCAAACUCCCACACCAGUUGGCAGUCAACUCAACAAACAGGAAGGAGCAAGAGGCUGAAUCAGAUCAUAGAACAAAUAAAUGAAUUCAUGUGAGUCUUAACACCUCAAUGAUAUUGUUCCCACCUUCCUGUGCAAAGGUAUGGACAUCUUAAAAUAAGGAGGCCAUGGAGUAGGUAGAAAAAAAAGGGGCCCAAACAUUCCCAGAAGUGAACCUCAGGUGGACCGAAAAUGCUACAAGUUUGUGUUGUUCUCUCCUACAAAAAGCCUCAGCACAAAGCGUGCUGAAGAAAAAACUUUACAAGCACAAUAAACAGAACUCAGACUCUGCUAUCAACUCAGAUUCGGGCAUGCCUGCAUGGGAUCCCAAACCAUGAAAACAGCAUGGACGCUGGCUGGAAUGCCUGCAUCACACACAGAUGUCCACAAGAAAGGGCUUGUUCUCUUAUGGGACCAUCUGCAAUCAGGCUUCUGAUCAGCUGCAUACGUCUGACACAAAAACUAAUUGCAUUACUAAACUUGUGAUUUCUGCCCAAACAAGUUUGGGGUGGACACAUCACAGGGACUCUGAACUCCCUGCCCACUCCUGGCAGGUUGGACUCUUGACCCACUUUGGAAUUAUGUCUCUUGCCACUGUCGGCUGAUUAUUUUAUUUGGCUUUCCUGGUUACUUGUAGCUCACAACACCUGUCUCUCCUGGUAUACACACUUCAGAAAAGCAAGUUGAUCUGUGUAAACCCAUUUUGAAUUUUUUUUAAAUUCAGGAUUUUGUCCUAAUUUCUGAACACGGCAUGUCUUUUCACUUAAAUUGCUUAAUAAUGUUUUCCUGUGACAAUGAGUUUAUUCCUCUUGCAGAUGAUCCUUCCUGACAACAUGUUUGAAUAAAAGCAGAGUAUGAUUUCAAAAAUAUAGAGUUAUGAUUGCUGAAAAGGACACACCGAUUUUGCAAUAAGAAAAACAAAAUCCUAGUGACUGGAAGGUACAGGAAGGGGGAAGGCAU